AUUGAACGCUGGCGGAAUGCUUUACACAUGCAAGUCGAGCGGCAGCGCGGGGCAACCUGGCGGCGAGCGGCGAACGGGUGAGUAAUACAUCGGAACGUACCCAGUUGUGGGGGAUAGCCCGGCGAAAGCCGGAUUAAUACCGCAUACGACCUGAGGGUGAAAGUGGGGGAUCGCAAGACCUCACGCAGUUGGAGCGGCCGAUGGCGGAUUAGCUAGUUGGUAGGGUAAAGGCCUACCAAGGCGACGAUCCGUAGCGGGUCUGAGAGGACGACCCGGCACACUGGAACUGAGACACGGUCCAGACUCCUACGGGAGGCAGCAGUGGGGAAUUUUGGACAAUGGGGGCAACCCUGAUCCAGCCAUUCCGCGUGAGUGAAGAAGGCCUUCGGGUUGUAAAGCUCUUUCGGCAGGAACGAAACGGCGGGCUCUAACAUAGCCUGCUAAUGACGGUACCUGAAGAAGAAGCACCGGCUAACUACGUGCCAGCCGCCGCAGUAACAC
rnacentral:rRNA from 1 species